rnacentral:rRNA from 1 species
GUAGGUGGCAAGCGUUGUCCGGAAUUAUUGGGCGUAAAGCGCGCGCAGGCGGUCCUUUAAGUCUGAUGUGAAAGCCCACGGCUCAACCGUGGAGGGUCAUUGGAAACUGGGGGACUUGAGUACAGAAGAGGAAAGCGGAAUUCCAAGUGUAGCGGUGAAAUGCGUAGAGAUUUGGAGGAACACCGGUGGCGAAGGCGGCUUUCUGGUCUGUAACUGACGCUGAGGCGCGAAAGCGUGGGGAGCAAACAGGAUUAGAUACCCUGGUAGUCCACGCCGUAAACGAUGAGUGCUAAGUGUUAGGGGGUUUCCCGCCCCCCUUAGUGCUGCAGCUAACGCAUUAAGCACUCCGCCUGGGGGAGUACGGCCGCAAGGCUG